UACGGAGGGUGCGAGCGUUGUCCGGAAUCAUUGGGCGUAAAGGGCGCGUAGGUGGCCCGGUCAGUUCGUGGUGAAAGCGCGGGGCUCAACCCUGCGUCGGCCAUGAAUACUGCCGCGGCUGGAGCACUGUAGAGGCAGGCGGAAUUCCGGGUGUAGCGGUGGAAUGCGUAGAGAUCCGGAAGAACACCGGUGGCGAAGGCGGCCUGCUGGGCAGUUGCCGACACUGAGGCGCGACAGCGUGGGGAGCAAACAGG
rnacentral:rRNA from 1 species